rnacentral:rRNA from 1 species
GAUGAACGCUGGCGGCGUGCCUAAUACAUGCAAGUCGAGCGAACAGACGAGGGGCUUGCUCCUCUGACGUUAGCGGCGGACGGGUGAGUAACACGUGGAUAACCUACCUAUAAGACUGGGAUAACUUCGGGAAACCGGAGCUAAUACCGGAUAAUAUAUUGAACCGCAUGGUUCAAUAGUGAAAGACGGUUUUGCUGUCACUUAUAGAUGGAUCCGCGCCGCAUUAGCUAGUUGGUAAGGUAACGGCUUACCAAGGCAACGAUGCGUAGCCGACCUGAGAGGGUGAUCGGCCACACUGGAACUGAGACACGGUCCAGACUCCUACGGGAGGCAGCAGUAGGGAAUCUUCCGCAAUGGGCGAAAGCCUGACGGAGCAACGCCGCGUGAGUGAUGAAGGUCUUCGGAUCGUAAAACUCUGUUAUUAGGGAAGAACAAAUGUGUAAGUAACUAUGCACGUAUUGACGGUACCUAAUCAGAAAGCCACGGCUAACUACGUG